rnacentral:rRNA from 1 species
UACGAAGGGGGCUAGCGUUGCUCGGAAUCACUGGGCGUAAAGGGUGCGUAGGCGGGUCUUUAAGUCAGGGGUGAAAUCCUGGAGCUCAACUCCAGAACUGCCUUUGAUACUGAAGAUCUUGAGUGCGGGAGAGGUGAGUGGAACUGCGAGUGUAGAGGUGAAAUUCGUAGAUAUUCGCAAGAACACCAGUGGCGAAGGCAGCUUACUGGGCUGUAACUGACGCUGAUGCACGAAAGUGUGGGGAUCAAACAGG